rnacentral:misc_RNA from 1 species
UCUCCGUUGGUGAACCAGCGGAGGGAUCAUUACCGAGUUAUCAACUCCCAAACCCCUGUGAACAUACCACAACGUUGCCUCGGCGGGACCGCCCCGGCGCCCCUAGCGGCCCGGAACCAGGCGCCCGCCGGAGGACCCAAACUCUUGCUUUGAACAGUGGCAUACUCUCUGAGUCUCAAAAACAAAAGUAAAUUAAAACUUUCAACAACGGAUCUCUUGGCUCUG